GACGUAGGGGGCGAGCGUUGUCCGGAUUUAUUGGGCGUAAAGAGCUCGUAGGCGGCCAUGUAGGUCCGGUGUGAAAACUCGAGGCUUAACCUCGAGAUGUCAUCGGAAACCAUUUGGCUAGAGUCCGGAAGAGGAGAGUGGAAUUCCUGGUGUAGCGGUGAAAUGCGUAGAUAUCUGGAGGAAUACCGGUGGCGAAGGCGGCAUCCUGGACCGGCAUUGACGCUGAGGAGCGAAAGCCAGGGGAGCAAACGGG
rnacentral:rRNA from 1 species